rnacentral:rRNA from 1 species
UAAUACGGGAGGCAGCAGUGGGGAAUAUUGCACAAUGGGCGCAAGCCUGAUGCAGCCAUGCCGCGUGUAUGAAGAAGGCCUUCGGGUUGUAAAGUACUUUCAGCAGUGAGGAAGGUGGGUAUGUUAAUAGCAUACUCAUUUGACGUUAGCUGCAGAAGAAGCACCGGCUAACUCCGUGCCAGCAGCCGCGGUAAUACGGAGGGUGCGAGCGUUAAUCGGAAUUACUGGGCGUAAAGCGCAUGCAGGUGGAUGAUUAAGUCAGAUGUGAAAGCCCGGGGCUCAACCUCGGAAUAGCAUUUGAAACUGGUCAUCUAGAGUACUGUAGAGGGGGGUAGAAUUUCAGGUGUAGCGGUGAAAUGCGUAGAGAUCUGAAGGAAUACCGGUGGCGAAGGCGGCCCCCUGGACAGAUACUGACACUCAGAUGCGAAAGCGUGGGGAGCAAACAGGAUUAGAUACCCUGGUAGUCCACGCCGUAAACGAUGUCUACUUGGAGGUUGUGGCCUUGAGCCGUGGCUUUCGGAGCUAACGCGGUAAGU